ACUUAUCUUAUCUAUUUGAAUCGAUAUGUGGUUUAACAUUAUUCCAUCGUAUGCAAUAAUAGUCGGCGCAAUAGCUGGUCCUGGAUAUGCUCUGUGGUGGUUGCAUCAUCUUACUCUCGGGAAUCAUUAUAGGCGCGCUCAAAACUCACGGUGGGAUCGUGCUCUAUACAACCGAGACAGGCUUCUUAGUGGAAAUCCAUACGUAGUUAAUGGUCUAAACGAUAUUCCUGAUAAAUGAAGAAUGUGCCAAGUUCAGAUACAUUUUUAUAGUCCUC